UGAUUAAUUAACACGAAAACGUUGCCUGGUGUCCCUUUAACUUUGUUCAUCUCACUCACCAAGGAAUGGAGCAACUUUCAGUGAGGAGCUAGGUCAAAGAUUGCGAUCUUUGGCUUGGUGUGAGAAAACACAUGUGCAGGAUGGAAUAAUCUUUGUGGAAGAGGAGGCAAAGCUAUUCAGAGAUACCCACCAAGGCAGAAUAUGCCACUUGGAAGUAAGCUUACCUUUCCUAAAGGAUCUAAUGCCUACAGGGGGAGGGGGAAGUGUUAUCUGACAUGCACGCUACAGGCCUACACGCACGGAGAGUGUCAAAGCAGGCUACUGUACUUGAACCGCGAGCGGGUGUGUCUAUGGGUGUGUCAACGACAACGGUAAGUUAGGGCUGUCUGCCAAUGCAAAGCCUAUCCCAAAAAAGGCCAGAGUAAAACAUUGUGAUAUUCCCUUUGCCCUUCAGCAUGUACAUGUUUGCCCCUUUUUGUGGUUUGUAGAUCAGCUUUGCCACCCAAAAAUACGAAGCUUUUU